UUUCAUUGAUGAUCUUUGACUUGUGUAUUGUGGAGCAUAGAGUUGAUUGUGUACAUAACGAAGGCAAAAAGUUUUAUACAAAGUUGGUUGACAUCAACAGAUGUCUGACAAUGCAUUGGAUAUGGAAUCUGAGGAUCAGAUAGAGGAUGGGGAGUUACUGAGAAGUCCAUUGAAACAGUCUCCAAUACAGUUGUCGAAGGAAAUGGAUGACACGGUUUUCACAAUGUCAGAAGAGGAGGCAGAUGACACUGCAGAUUCAUUAGACAUUAAACCACCACAAGCUGCAAUUCUGCAUCAUCAUCAUCACAAAUCGAGCUCACGCAGUGGUGGAAGCACCAAGCGUGACAAGCACUCUGAAAGUGGACGCCGAGAUCAUGUUCAUCCUAACAAGUCUGAUGCGUCAUCGAGGAGAAAAACCCAUCACAGAUCUAGGGAGCACAGGGAACGUAGAGAAGAACGAAUCAGAGAGAAACAUCAUCACAGAGAGAGACGAGAACAGAUGCCGACCAGUCGUGGUGAGUCAAAGCGUUCUUCUGAUGGAAGAGGAGGUGGUAGCAGCAGCAGUAGUAAACAGCAGCAGCAGGAGAGGGGAGACCGUAUGUUGGAGGAUCUGCGAGAACGUCUUUUGGAUAAAAGAAGGGCCCAGGAAAGCUCUGAUAGAAGAAUUAAGAUGGAUCAACGAAGUCGACGCUCACAGCAACAACAACAGGAUAUGAUGAUGCAGCAACACCAACAACAGCUGCAGCAACAACCGCCACCACCACCAGUUAGACAUGAGACAGCACGGGAAAAAGCAGAGAGACUCGAAAAAGAGUUAAGGAAAGAACGGCUUUUGGAAGCAGACCGGGAAAUGGUUCGCCAGAAAGAGGUAUACAGGAGAGAACUAGAAGCCAGACGAGAGCGACGCCACUUAGAGAAAGAAAAAGAACGUACCUUACACGAGGUCAGCAUGAAGGGAGAGCGAAGUGAGAGCCGUGAGCGAAAGAGACGAAAGCUGGAAAGUGGUGAACAACAAAGUGAAUCUGAUGGUGAAGAUGUACUUGGUAAAGAUGAACUUAUGGUGGUUACUCUGUCAGAUGAUUCAGAUGGUUCACAAGAAGAAAGAAUGGAGACAAACUCAGGUGCAAAUGUUUCCGCAGGAGAAGGUGAUAUAGUAGUAGAAGAAGUGUCGAGUGGAGGUGAGGAAGCUUCAAGUGAUGUAGAAGAAGAAGAAGAUGAUGAGGAGGAGGAGGAGGAAGACAGUGAAACCAGUUCUGGGUCUGAUGAAGAUGGAGCAGCAGCUGCUGAUACUGAUGACUCACGUGGACAUCACACUGAAAAUGAAGAAUAUGAAGGUAGUCCUGGAUCUGUAAAGAGGGAGCGGGAUAGUCCUGAGAGAGAAAGUCCUCCUGCAGCAGCUGUUGGAGUAAAUGAGAAAAAACCUACAAAAACAGAUGAGAAUGGCAUACCAUUCAUCAGUGAUUCGCCGAAGGCUGAGAAUGCAUUGAAAGAAGAACUGCCCCCAUACCUCCCUGCCAUCCAAGGAUGUCGUAACGUGGAAGAGUUUCAGUGUUUAAAUAGGAUUGAAGAAGGGACGUAUGGUGUAGUGUAUCGUGCUCGUGAUAAACGAACCAGUGAAGUGGUAGCACUGAAAAGAUUAAAGAUGGAGAAAGAGAAAGAAGGUUUUCCAAUUACGUCACUAAGAGAAAUUAAUACACUUCUGAAGGCCCAGCAUCCAAACAUAGUGACUGUACGUGAAAUAGUUGUGGGCAGUAACAUGGAUAAAAUUUUUAUUGUUAUGGACUACGUGGAACAUGAUUUGAAGUCACUAAUGGAGACCAUGAAACAAAAGAAGCAGGUGUUUAUUCCAGGUGAAGUGAAGUGUCUUAUGCAGCAACUUUUGCGUGCAGUUGCCCAUUUACAUGACAAUUGGAUAUUGCACCGUGAUCUCAAGACAUCUAAUCUACUACUGAGCCAUAAGGGGAUACUGAAGGUUGGCGAUUUUGGCUUGGCUCGUGAAUAUGGUUCUCCGCUGAAACCGUAUACUCCAGUAGUUGUAACACUUUGGUAUCGAGCACCAGAACUACUUCUGUGUACAAAGGAAUACUCAACGCCUGUCGAUAUGUGGUCAGUGGGCUGUAUAUUUGGUGAAUUCUUGUCAAUGGAAGCACUUUUUCCAGGGAAGACUGAAGUAGAUCAGUUAAACAGGAUAUUCAAGGAUCUGGGCACUCCAAAUGAGAAAAUUUGGCCUGGUUACAGUAAGCUUCCUGCUGUUCAGAAGAUGACAUUUGCUGAAUAUCCUGUAAAUCAGCUGCGCAACAGGUUUGGUGCUAUGAUUACUGAUGUUGGUAUGGACCUUAUGAACAGGUUUCUAACAUAUGAUCCAGCACAACGCAUCACCGCCGAAGCAGCCUUAAACCAUGAUUACUUUAAGGAGGCACCUUUACCUAUUGACCCUGCUAUGUUUCCAACAUGGCCAGCAAAGAGUGAGCUUGGACAUCGCAAAGCAGCUGCUGCUUCCCCUAAACCACCACCUGGUGGUCAUGAAUAUAAGCAACUAGGAGAUGAUGAAGAAGUCCCUGCUGGUGGGUUUCACAUGGGUGUUGUUGAGAAAGGACGUGUUGCAGUUGGAGCUGGCUUCAGUCUGAAAUUCUGAAUUACUGGAAACACAGAAUUUACCUUUGUGUUUUCACGAAGGUUAUAUGAUUCUAUGCGUCAUUGAUUAAGGUUAACAUUGUCGUGAAAUUAGUGUGAUGGCAGUAUCAGUGGAACUUAAUUUAUGCUGAACUUAGCUGGAUGGUUAGCACAAAGGAGAUCAAUUAGCCAAACUGAAGACUGAAGCAAAUAGUUGGACAUUUCUUGAGUAUUCUUCUUGCUCUAACACAAUCAUAAUGAAGCAGUUUAAAAUGUUAUAUGACGUGCUGCUGCCACAUGGUCCUUCAUAAAUUUGGGAAGAAACAACUGAUAUGCAAAUCUGAUUCAGCAAAAGUACUUAAAGAAAAAACUGUUGUUAGUAACUGACAUGGAAAACCAUAUGAAACUACUGUGUGUCUACCUCAUCCUCGUCAAAAUCUUCUGCAUUCUUAAAUACAAUUAGUAAAAGAAAAACAUGCUGAAUGUGUUCAGAGAGCAGAAAAAGUCAUAAACCAGGGAAUCAUGAAUAAAUAUCCCCACAUCUUUCUUCUUAUUUUUAUUUUUUAAAACAACCUCUUUGUCUCUGUGCUCAUAAGGCUAGUCUUUUUACAUUUCAACCAAACUCGUGCUAAACAGUGUGUGCCUAUUAACACUGGAAAAACAAAAAGAAAGCAAAUAUAUUGACUGCUGUACUUAGUAUGCUCUGCAACCUAUUGGGAGCCAUUUACAUUUGUGUAAUUUGAGAAUAAAAGUUGAUGGAAUAGUUUGAAAGGUGUGUUGUUACAUAUAAUUUUUUAUAUUUGAUAUUCUCUCUCAAAUAACAAUGACUGAAAAUAGGAUAGUGUGACUAAGUAAGGGAUUGGAAAAUUAGUGCUCUGCAGAUUCAUGUAUUAAUGGAACACUGAAUAUUUUGUCCCAUUUAUGCAGCUUCUGGUAGAACUGAUUUUCAUUUAUUUCAUAUUAGUUGUAGAAUUCUUUUCCCUUAAUUUUCAAAAUGUGUCAUGUUAAAAAUUAUAUGCAUUUGUUCAAUAUCACACUCUUGAUAUAAAAAGAAGUAUUGGGUAUUGAUAUUCCAAAACUAGCAAUGGGACUUCAGUUUUUCUCUGCUUCUUGGAAUUUUGCCUGCCUAUCAGCUCACCAUUUUGCAACCCAUAAUUUCAAUUCCCUCUUUUGGUAUGUCAAAGACUCAAUUAUUUAUUU